rnacentral:rRNA from 1 species
GACGAACGCUGGCGGCGUGCUUAACACAUGCAAGUCGAACGGAAAAGCCCUGCUUGCAGGGUACUCGAGUGGCGAACGGGUGAGUAACACGUGGGUGAUCUGCCCUGCACUUCGGGAUAAGCCUGGGAAACUGGGUCUAAUACCGGAUAUGACCUUCCAUGCAGUGUGGGGGGUGGAAAGAUUUAUCGGUGUGGGAUGAGCCCGCGGCCUAUCAGCUUGUUGGUGGGGUAAUGGCCUACCAAGGCGUCGACGGGUAGCCGGCCUGAGAGGGUGGACGGCCACAUUGGGACUGAGAUACGGCCCAGACUCCUACGGGAGGCAGCAGUGGGGAAUAUUGCACAAUGGGCGGAAGCCUUAUGCAGCGACGCCGCGUGGGGGAUGACGGCCUUCGGGUUGUAACCCUCUUUCGACAGGGACGAAGCUUCGGUGACGGUACCUGUAGAAGAAGCACCGGCUAACUACGUG